CCCAGAGCGCCGAAGCACCAGCGCCGCGCCAGCCCGCAGACCACUUGGGCCAUUGUGGUCAUGGGACGUGGGCAGGGCUUGGGAGCCGGGCCCCAAGUGAAGGCCCGACAACAGGUCCGGGCCGGAAAGUGAGAGAUCAAGAAAUUGAAGCACAGAGAGCCUGAAAGCUUGCCCAAGUCCCCCGGCUAGUAAGUGGCUGAUCGAGCUGGAAGCUCCAACUCUCAACCACGGCGUUCUCUCACUGAUUCCUCUGCUGGUGGUCAGAGAGCCAGGGACAUGGAUAAUGGUGAACACAUACCCACAGAGUUUCAGGAAGAUGGAGCAUGAGCGCGUGGCCUUGGCCCUAGCCCCAGGCGGUCCCUGGGAUGCAGCCUGUCGAGUGGGGGUCCUUGGCGUCGCACAGAAAAGAAUUCAAGAGCGAGCCAUAGCUGAGUGAAGGAAGAGGCUCGAGGUGAUCACUGAUCCUCGCACACGUUUAUUUACCCUGUGAAGGAAAAGCCACGCUGGUCUAACAAGGAUUAUCUCUAGAGACAGACACACAGUAUAGAUAAUUGGGUAGGAAGAUCCAAGCACGUCUGGUCAGAUCAGAGCCCCAUUGGGCCUUUUGACUCGAAUGCUAGGCUUCCACCAUGAACCGAUUGGCUGUUCAUACCAGGUAACAGUGGCCCACGUGCCCAGUGUUGCUGUGAGUCGUUCCUUCUAAAAUGCUUACCUACUCUGUGUUCAGUCGGUUCUCUGUUCAUCGUACGCACGUAUUGAAGGAUGUUAAAUCACGUGGUGAUAGAAGUCUAAGAGCGCGCUCAGUCCUUCUGUAGGUGGGAAGGUUAGAGCCAGAGGCGGGGAGGGGCUGGUCUGAGGACACGGCUGCCAUGACUGGAGCCAGAGCAGGACCUCGUUCAAGUACACUGAUCACUCAGCCAGUGACUUUCCUCAAUUAAAUAAGAAAUAGGAGUGCUGCUCUGCAUGAACGUGUGUGUGUGUGUGUGUGUGUGUGUGUGUGUGUGUGUGUGUGGACGGGCUGGGGAAGCAGGGAGAGGGAGGAGACAUGUAGAAAUUAGUCAAACAGUCUUUGUUAUUUUUUUAGUACAUUUAAAAAAAAAUUGAAGUGUAGUCAGUUUACGGUAUUGUAUCAAUUUCUGGUGCCCAGCAUCAUGUUUCAGUCAUACGUAUACAUACAUGUAUUUGUUUUCAUAUUUUUUUCAUUAUAGGUUAUUACAAGAUAUGGAAUAUAGUUAGUUCCCUGUGGUCUACAGUAUAAACUUGCUGUUUAUCUAUUAUGUAUGUAUAUAUUAGUAUCUGCAAACCUCCAAUCCCCAAUUUAUCCCAUCCUUCCCCCUCACCGCCCCCGGUAACCAUAAGUUUGUUUUCUGUGUCUGUGAGUCUGUUUCUGUUUUGUAAAUAAGUUCAUUUGUCUUUUUUACAAUUUUAAUUCCACAUAUAAGUGAUCUCAUAUUGUAUUUUUCUUUCUCUUUCUGGCUUACAUCACUUAGAAUGACCAUCUCCAGGUCCAUCCAUGUUGCUACAAAUGGCAUUAAAACAGUCUUUGAAAUAUGAACUAGCGGAGUGAGACAGCAUCAUCGCCGUGGGUUUGGUUGAUGGUCUAGACACCUGAUUUCAAAAUGAAACACACAAAAGAAAAACUCUGCACGUGUUCUUCAAAACCCUUGAUAGUGAGGCCUAACCUCAUAGUCAUCACAUUCCAUUUCUGUGUGAAAAUGUGUACUCAGAGCUGUGAAGGAAUAAAAAAGUACACGUUUAUAGCCCCUGAGCUCUCAGUAGGUGCUCUGGACCAAAUGUCUGUGCCUCCCCAGACUCCUGUGUUGAAACCUGACCCCCGAUGCAGUGGUCUUUGGAGGUUGGGCCUUCAGGGGGUGAUUAGGUCGAGGAUGCAGCCCUCGUGAAAGCUACAACAGGCCAAGACCAGG